AAAAAGUCUCUCUCUUCAUAAAGUCUCUGCUGCUGCUACUACCAAGGAAAACCAGCUGCUCACACGAAUAUUUUGAAUUGAAUUUUUACCUGUGAUACUUAUGAUUUCUUUUUUAAAAUUUCAAACUGAAUCUUUUUUUUGUUUAUGAAUUAUCAAGGCCAAAUCUUUGCGAAUCUAAAGUUAGUCAAUAUCUCUUCAGAAGAUCUCUUCAAACGGCUCUCUUGGAAUUCAAGAUCCCAACCCUUGACCUCUCUGAUUUUGGAUUCAAAAUUCAAAAAAAAAAAAAAACUCAAGUUCCAUCUAUAAACACUCCUAAAAUCUUCAGCCAAAACCAAGCUUGGAACACAUGUGAAAACCAGGUUCAAAUCACCAAAAAAAAAAAAAUCUUUCUUGCUUCAAUUUACAUUCAAGUUAUAAAUCUCAAUUUAGUAGUGGAUCCGAGACCUCAAAGCCUACAGUUCACUGCCCUACAAGAAGUAAAAUUUGAGACCUCAAAGCCUACAGUUCACUGCCCUACAAGAGGUAAAAUCUUACUUUUCUCUAACUUUUUCUCUUCCCCAUAGAAACUUUGUAUCUGCUUAGAAAUUAUGGUAAAAGGGUGUGUAUAGUCAGAUUUAACAGGGUUAUUAUUUACUAAUUGGAUGUCCGAAAGUCAUAAUAUUUGAAAUUGUUAGUAUUCAUGUUCAUGAUUGUGGGUUAAGUAUAAAUAAAUGCAGUAGAAAUCAUGUUUAGGCAUCCUUUAAUCGUGUGAAGAUUUGUGAAAAUUCUGAUAGUUGUUGUGGUUUAAAAAUCACAUCUUUAGUUUCCCUUUAAGUCAAAAUCAUGAACAAUUUAUUUAAUAGUUGUGAUUUUAAAAUCACAUCUUUAGUUUCCCUUUAAGUCAAAAUCAUGAACGAUUUAUUUGUGUAUAACAUAUCUUAAGAUGUCUUAUUUGUGAUAAUUUCUUUAAUCUCAGAAUACUUGAUUUAGGAUUGUUACUGUUUGUGAAACAAAAACCAUGAUGAUAAGAUUAAUCUCAUAGUAGAAGUCACGUCUAUGAUUAUUUAUAUCCUUGGUUAAUAUGAGUAAUAUUUUAAGGAAUCAUGUUAUGUGCCCUUUGGCUCAAACGCUAGAUGAAUGAACCUGGCCUGCUAAAUCUAUGUUUAAGCCUUACACGUAAAGUUGUUUAAAAGUAUUCUAUAUUUUCUGUUGCAUUGAGGAACACUGUAGAACCAAGGUAAGAUUCUGCUAUGACUAAUAAACUAAGAAAUUCCUUUGAUUCAUCUACACAUGAUACAAUUUGUUCAUUGUUAUUUACGCUACUUUUGUUGGAGUUACUAAUGCUAUUUUGUUUUUGUUUUUGUUUUUCUUUCCUUUACUGAGCCGAAAGUCGAUUGGAAACAGACUCUCUGCCCUUUCUGAUAGGGGUAAGGCCGGUAUACAUAUUACCCUCACCAAACAUCACUUUGUGGGACUAUAUUGGAUAGUUAUUGUUGUUGUUGUUACGAUGUCACAUCCGUUCGUAUAUAUUUUAGAAAUAAUACUAGCUUUAAAAAAGUCUGCUUGACUAAGCGUGUCUGAUAUUAACUGAAAAUAUUGCAACUCAUUGUUUGGUUUCACUUUAAGGCCAACAUGAUUUUACUUAGUUUAUUUCAUUCAAUAGGAAGCAAGAUUAAUGCUGCUGUCUAGAACCAGUGUUUGCAUUAUCAUCACUCAGCUCUCUCUUCGAACAGCAAAACAAUGAAUUUUUGAGGCACUGAAACAAAAAUCACAGAAGUUGUUAUCCUUCUGUUAGGAGCUAAAUGGGGCUGUCUACCAUAUUAUUACGAUUAUUACUAUUUUUCUCCCUCAUAUUACUGCUUACUUGAAUGAUGGCUAACAUUUACUGUGUGAUUAUCUUUUAAUUUUAGUUGUGUGAUUGACAUUAAAACCAACGAUUUCUAAAAACUAUUUUAAAAUUAUAUGAGACUGUUAUGAAAUAUUAGACUAUGGUGGAUGUCCAUAACUCCUAUAACACCCACUACUUUUAUCCAUUAUCUCCAUAACUCCCACUACUCCAAUACUUAUGGUCAAUAUCUUUUAAUAAAGUAUAGAGCAUAUUUAUUAAUGAGUUUAAAGAAACUUUACCCACUUUUAUUUUUAGUCCCCUGCUUUUGACCAUUCUUUACUUUAAAAGACACUUUUAUAAAUUAAUUCUACUUUAUCAAAUUUUAAGUUUUUUUUUCACGUUGAUCUUUCAUUCUGGACUUUAGUCCAUUUUUCUAGAAAAUUGUCUCUUCAAAAUUUGGGUUCUUUAGGAAAAUCAAAUUUCAUACGGAUCUUUUAAAGUUAUGUUUAUGUUAUUUCGGUCUAACCCUAUUUUACACUUAAUCUUGAUUAUAAGUCCGGUCGGUUAAUCAUUUUAAUAUGAAUUUUAAAGGGUGCCUUAAAAACCUUCCUUUUAAAUUAAUUGAACUCUUACCUAGAAUCUUUAGCUUAAGUAGACCAUUAACAGAGUUAUACUUUAUUAAAUUAUUUUAAUCAAAUUGGGUGUCCUAAUUCACUAUAAUUAAUUAGGUGGCAACUCUCUCUCUUUUAAUUAUUUAAACCUUCAGAAUUACCAAUAUGUUAUACUCUAGUUUGACCCAUGUUAAAAUGGGGUAAGAAGUUGUUCAUGACUUCCAACUGCUGAACGACGUGCUAGAUCUCAAAAAGAUUGGUCGGGUCGUUACAUUCUCCCACACUUUAAAUAGACGUUCGUCCUCGAACGUUCCAUGAACUGCUCUUAAGUUAUCUGAAAUUACUAUUUAACACCUCGUGCACCUGCCCGUGCUACCACAACUCAUAUGGACACAUUAGUUUGAUCAAAUCUGUAGAUAUCCUCUUUUAUCCAUACAAUAAGCUCAUAACCCAAUUCCAACACCUGAAAUUCUGUGCUUAACAUGUUCCUUGUAUAUAACCACUGUAACAACUACCACACGAGGUACCAGAACACGACUGUGUACCUUUAUUAAAUUUGCAUCAUGCAUCGCAUAAUUCACCAUCUAACCAUAAUGACUCUCUGAACUUUAAUAGUCAAAAUUCCACGACUCUGAUGCUCCCAAUGAAUAUGAUGAUAUACCUAUGCAUUCUGUUAUAAUGUUGACGAUAGACCACAACGGAGGAGAUGUGCAUAAAUUUCUAACAAAACAUUAACUCACAUUUCACAUCAAAACCUAAUCGCGACUUGAUAAAAUUAACCAAAAUUUCCAGCUAUAUAUAAAUAUUGUAUCAACUACCACAUGGGGUACCACAACACGAUUGCGUACCUUUAAUGAAUUAGCACCAUGCAUCGCACAAUUCACCAUCUAACCACAAUGACACUCCAUGAAUCUUAAUAGCCAAAAUUCCACGACUCUAAUGCUCCCAAUUCAUAUGAUGAUAUACCUAUGCAUUCUGUUAUAAAGCUGACGACACAACAACGGAGGAGAUGUGCAGAAAUUUCUAACCAAUUGCAAUGUUAACCCAACAUUAUUUCUCUCUUUUUGACUAAAAUCAUCACCUCAUUACUACCCAAAUAUUGGUAACUGCCCUGUAAUAUAUAUUAUCUUUCCACUACCUCUACUUGUCAUCCGAAACACAGCAAAAUCACAUGUAUUUGCACAUUGUACCAACUGAAAAUAUUCAUUUCCUUUCUUUCUUCCUUGCAAUAAUUUUCGACAAAGAAAAUCACAACAUAUAGUGAACCCUCAUACCGAUAGGGUAUAUAAUUGACAUAUAAAAUUAAUUAUCCUAAAAUUACGUCAAACCCACUGUAGUAAGUAUUGAUCGUGCGCUGCCUUCGGUCUAGGAAUUUUAAAGGUAGCCUAGUUGACAUCCGCAGGCCGGAGUCCCUUUCUCUAUUAUUAGUUUGUUUUCCUUGUACCGAGACAAACAUUGAUGUAUUUCGAUUCAGACUUGUUUUUAGCACUCUUUAGCAGUUCGUGUGCUAGUGACACCACACUCUGGGUGGAGAUGAAUUUAGACUUCCGCAUAUGUCUUUAGUUGUUAAGUUUUAAGACUUUUGCUAUUGAUUAAUUGUCUCGCUUCUCUUUAUUUGUUGAAGACGUUAUCUGAGAUGUUUAAUAUUUGGCUUGCCUAGCUCCAAUAGUAGGUGCCAUCACGACUUCCGAUGGUGGGAAAAUCGGGGUCGUGAAAGUUGGAUCCGACCUCCGCAAAACUUCUGAACGCGUAGUUGACACUUGUCACGACCCCAAAAUUUCCCUCUUUUGCUGCACCUGGAUGAUCUGCAAAUUUAAAUGUGGAAUCAAAUUUGAAUGCAUUAUGGAAUAAGUAAAUGUUGUGAGUUUCAUAAUAUAAGUAUUAAGAGACACAUGAUACCUCCUUGAAAGUUGCGACCUGGGAUAACAACUACUUUCUUCUCUAUAUAUACAGGAAACAAAUACAACUAUCCCUUCUUUAAUGAUAUUAGAGUUGUAAAGAUUCCAAUUCCCUCUGAGAAGACUAUCACCAAAGAUCCGUAUAUUUUUCCAAAUUGUUUGAUGAAGAAGGGAACACAUGAGAUCAAUUUAUACAGAAAGGCUUUCACUUGCCUGAUGAUGAAAACGUGGAAAUUCACCACUAAUGGUUGAGAUCUUUCCAUACUUAACCAAAAGUGUGAGCUUUGAGAAUGUAGAAUAAUAGGGAGCGCUUUACCUGCCUAACCAGUGUGAGUUCGAAUUAAUCGCCUUGGACACUUAACCAAGCUCUUGAUGAGCGGUAUUCACCUUCACCUUAUUAUGCUCUCCUUAGCCUCUGGGUUGGGCAUAUGACCCUCUUUAGAUCAUUUUGUAAUAUUCCAGUGGUCAAGGAUGUCUCAAUAAAAUUCGUGGCCUAAAGCCAGAUUUAGAAAAGGAACCUUUUUUUUUCUUUUUUGUUUUGUUUAUACGGUAGUUAUCUUACAAAAUGUAACACUAAUAUUUACUUUAGUUUUUUCCUUUCUUUUAUCUAGAAUUUAGUUAUCUUAUAAAAUAUAAUACAUAGCCCUAAUAUCUAUAUUAGUAAGAAAAUUCAAGUUACUAAGAUGUUAGUCACGUAUUUACAAUGUGUUACCAUGAGUCUUAUUUUUAAAAAUAUUAUGUACAAAUAUGAAGAUUUGACUGUCUUAAUUAAAAGUCCUA
rnacentral:lncRNA from 1 species